AGAAAUCUCUCUCAGUUCUUCGAGUAAUUUAUGGUGAGAGCUCUUCAUUUCUUCAUCAUUUGCUGGGGCAGAAAGUUUCUCCAAAGUGGCUAAUGCAAACUCUAGGAUCUUCCCUAGAUAAUCCAUAUCUAAAGUUCCUGAUCUCAGCACCUAAUAUCAACAUCAAUAGUCUCAACAAUCUCCUGUCUCCAAGUCUGAGGAGACAUCUCACAUAGCUCAUCCCUAACUUCCUGAAUGAGUUUAAGAAUCCAACUAAAAUCAGGCUCAUCCUGUUUGACAGACUCCAUAAUACUAUCCCAAAAAGCCUUUUCAAUU
rnacentral:misc_RNA from 1 species